rnacentral:rRNA from 1 species
AGAGUUUGAUCCUGGCUCAGGAUGAACGCUAGCUACAGGCUUAACACAUGCAAGUCGAGGGGCAGCGGGAUUGAAGCUUGCUUCAAUUGCCGGCGACCGGCGCACGGGUGAGUAACGCGUAUCCAACCUUCCGCUUACUCGGGGAUAGCCUUUCGAAAGAAAGAUUAAUACCCGAUGGUAUCUUAAGCACGCAUGAGAUUAAGAUUAAAGAUUUAUCGGUAAGCGAUGGGGAUGCGUUCCAUUAGGCAGUUGGCGGGGUAACGGCCCACCAAACCUACGAUGGAUAGGGGUUCUGAGAGGAAGGUCCCCCACAUUGGAACUGAGACACGGUCCAAACUCCUACGGGAGGCAGCAGUGAGGAAUAUUGGUCAAUGGGCGAGAGCCUGAACCAGCCAAGUAGCGUGAAGGAUGACGGCCCUACGGGUUGUAAACUUCUUUUGUGCGGGAAUAAAGGAACCUACGUGUAGGUUUUUGCAUGUACCGUAACGAAUAAGCAUCGGCUAACUCCGUGCCAGCAGCCGCGGUAAUACGGAGGAUGCGAGCGUUAUCCGGAUUUAUUGGGUUUAAAGGGAGCGCAGACGGGAGAUUAAGUCAGUUGUGAAAGUUUGCGGCUCAACCGUAAAAUUGCAGUUGAUACUGGUUUCCUUGAGUGCAGUUGAGGCAGGCGGAAUUCGUGGUGUAGCGGUGAAAUGCUUAGAUAUCACGAAGAACCCCGAUUGCGAAGGCAGCCUGCUAAGCCGCCACUGACGUUGAGGCUCGAAAGUGCGGGUAUCAAACAGGAUUAGAUACCCUGGUAGUCCGCACGGUAAACGAUGGAUACUCGCUGUUGGCGAUAGACUGUCAGCGGCCAAGCGAAAGCGUUAAGUAUCCCACCUGGGGAGUACGCCGGCAACGGUGAAACUCAAAGGAAUUGACGG